UACGGAGGGUGCAAGCGUUAUCUGGAUUUACUGGGCUUAAAGGGUGCGUAGGCGGGUUGGUAAGUCUGUGGUGAAAUCCCCAAGCUUAACUUGGGAACUGCCGUGGAUACUAUCAAUCUUGAAUAUCGUGGAGGUAAGCGGAAUAUGUCAUGUAGCGGUGAAAUGCUUAGAUAUGACAUAGAACACCAAUUGCGUAGGCAGCUUACUACACGAUCAUUGACGCUGAGGCACGAAAGCGUGGGGAGCAAACAGG
rnacentral:rRNA from 1 species